UACGUAGGGUGCAAGCGUUGUCCGGAAUUAUUGGGCGUAAGAGCUCGUAGGCGGUCUGUCGCGUCGGCUGUGAAAACUCCAGCUCAACUUGGAGACGCCAUUCGAUACUGCGAUGACUUGAGUCCGGUAGGGGAGUGUGGGAAUUCCUGGUGUAGCGGUGAAAUGCGCAGAUAUCAGGAGGAACACCGGCGGCGAAGGCGGCACUCUGGGCCGGUACUGACGCUGAGGAGCGAAAGCGUGGGUAGCAAACAGG
rnacentral:rRNA from 1 species